rnacentral:rRNA from 1 species
AUACUGAACUGCUUAUUGCACCACAUGUGUUUUUCUUUGAAACAAACUUGCUUUGGCGGUGGGCCCAGCCUGCCGCCAGAGGUCUAAACUUACAACCAAUUUUUUAUCAACUUGUCACACCAGAUUAUUACUAAUAGUCAAAACUUUCAACAACGGAUCUCUUGGUUCUCGCAUCGAUGAAGAACGCAGCGAAAUGCGAUACGUAAUAUGAAUUGCAGAUAUUCGUGAAUCAUCGAAUCUUUGAACGCACAUUGCGCCCUCUGGUAUUCCGGAGGGCAUGCCUGUUUGAGCGUCGUUUCUCCCUCAAACCGCUGGGUUUGGUGUUGAGCAAUACGACUUGGGUUUGCUUGAAAGACGGUAGUGGUAAGGCGGGAUCGCUUUGACAAUGGCUUAGGUCUAACCAAAAACAUUGCUUGCGGCGGUAACGUCCACCACGUAUAUCUUCAAACUUUGACCUCAAAUCAGGUAGGACUACCCGCUGAACUUAAGCAUAUCAAAAGGGGGGGAGGAA